UGGAAGAAGAGAGAGAGAGAGAGAGAGAGAGAAGAGAGAGAGAGAGAGAGAGAGAGAGAUGCGAAAAGUACAAGAGAAAAGAGUAACAGAUGGAGCAGCUCGAGGUCACGUCCUGUCACCCUGCUGCCACGGCAACACAUCACUCUGUUACUUUCACAGAGUUAAACGAGUGUGUCCGAGUGGAAUGAAGUCUACGUUACACUUUCUGCUUCACUCCAGGAAACAGGAUUCGGGCUAAUGAGGGGUCUCCACAGCGGAUCAUCUGUCUCCACACCUCCCUGUCC